UACGGAGGGUGCGAGCGUUGUCCGGAAUCAUUGGGCGUAAAGGGCGCGUAGGUGGCCCGGUCAGUUCGUGGUGAAAGCGCGGGGCUCAACCCUGCGUCGGCCAUGAAUACUGCCGCGGCUGGAGCACUGUAGAGGCAGGCGGAAUUCCAGGUGUAGCGGUGAAAUGCGUAGAUAUCUGGAGGAACACCGGUGGCGAAGGCGGCGUUCUGGACUGCAACUGACACUGAAAAACGAAAGCCAGGGGAGCAAACGGG
rnacentral:rRNA from 1 species